CCCGCAACGAGCGCAACCCCUGCUAUUAGUUGCUAACAUUUAGGAUGAGCACUCUAAUGGGACUGCCUGUGACAAGCAGGAGGAAGGUGGGGAUGACGUCAAAUCAUCAUGCCCUUUAUGAUCUGGGCUACACACGUGCUACAAUGGAUGGUACAGAGGGCCGCGAAGCCGUGAGGUGAAGCGAAGAGUUUGAUCCUGGCUCAGUUCCGAUUGGAGUCUGCAAUUCGACUCCAUGAAGACGGAAUCGCUAGUAAUCGCGAAUCAGCACGAUCGCGGUGAAUACGUUCCCGGGCCUUGUACACACCGCCCGUCAAGCCAUGGAAGCUGGGGGGACCUAAAGUCGAUAACCGCAAGAGAGAGAGCCGUCCAAGGUGGGGUUGGUAAUUGGGGUGAAGUCGUAACAAGGUAGCC
rnacentral:rRNA from 1 species